CUGUGACUCCUACGGGAGGCAGCAGUGGGGAAUAUUGCACAAUGGGAGAAACCCUGAUGCAGCCAUGCCGCGUGUGUGAAGAAGGCCUUCGGGUUGUAAAGCACUUUCAGUAGGGAGGAAGGUAGUGUAGUUAACACCUGCAUUAUUUGACGUUACCUACAGAAGAAGCACCGGCUAACUCCGUGCCAGCAGCCGCGGUAAUACGGAGGGUGCGAGCGUUAAUCGGAAUUACUGGGCGUAAAGCGCAUGCAGGCGGCCUGUUAAGUCAGAUGUGAAAGCCCCGGGGCUUAACCUCGGAAUUGCAUUUGAAACUGGCAGGCUAGAGUCUUGUAGAGGGGGUAGAAUUUCAGGUGUAGCGGUGAAAUGCGUAGAGAUCUGAAGGAAUACCAGUGGCGAAGGCGGCCCCCUGGACAAAGACUGACGCUCAGAUGCGAAAGCGUGGGGAGCAAACAGGAUUAGAUACCCUGGUAG
rnacentral:rRNA from 1 species